AUGCACGAGAACCACCCCAGGACGCUCGCCUGCAACGUCGACGCGCUCGCCGAGUUCGGCUACCUCAAGGACUUCCCCGAGCUGCUCUUCCGCCUCAUCCACGGCGCCGACGUGCGCAAGGUUGCCAAGGCCGGAGUGGAGGACGACAAGGUGCGCAGGAAGGCCAAGGCCCUGGCCCAGCAGCGGGAGGGCCUCCGCGCCAGGCUUGCCGGCCGGAAGCGCGCCCGCGAGCUGGCGCCCGAGCCGGCCAAGGCCACCUUCGGCGACUUCCUCUCGGCCGCCCUCUCCAAGUUCGGCAAGGGCAAGCCCGUGGAGGUGGAGACCGCCCCUGUCGCGGUCGAGGAGCCAAAGCCGGAGGCGAUGGAGGUUGAUCCGGAGAAGACGGCGAUCAAGCCGCGGCGGAUGUCCAAGAAAGUCCGCAAGGUGGCCAAGCUCGCCGUGCAGUCGCUGGAGACGUACUACGGCGACCGCGCCUACCGAUUCCUGUUUGACGCCGUCGCCGAGUUCUUCGCCGCGCUCCUUGCCUCGGACCUUGAGCAGCUGGCCCCAAAAGGCAAGAAGAGGAAGAUCGGGCUCGCCGCCAAGUGGUGCCCCACGCCGGGCUCGUCGUUUGACCGCACCACACUGCUCUGCGAGGCCAUCGCCCGCCGCCUCUUCCCGCGCGACUCGGACCCUGAGCUCGCCCAGCUCUCGGAUGACCACUACACGUACCAGGCCCUCCGCAGCCUCCGCCGCGAGGUGCUCGUGCCGCUGCGCAAGGUCCUGGAGCUCCCUGAGGUGUACAUGAGAGCGCAGCGGUGGCCGGAGCUGCCCUACAACCGCGUGGCCUCGAUGGCCAUGCGGCGCUACAAGUUCCUUUUCAAGAAGCACGACGAGGCACGCUUCGACAAGUACCUCGAGGACGUGGAGGACGGCAAGGCCAAGAUCUUGGCGGGUGCGCUCCUGCCGCAGGAGAUCGCCGCGGCCGCCUACCGCGGCGAGGACGACAACGUGUCAGAGCUCCAGUGGCGCCGCAUGGUGGACGACCUCCGCUCCAAGGGAUCGCUGCGCAACUGCAUCUCGGUCUAUGACGUGUCCGGGAGCAUGAACGGCACCCCGAUGGAGGUGUGCGUUGCGCUGGGCGUGCUCACGUCGGAGCUCAGCGAGGAGCCAUGGGCGGGCAAGGUGAUCACCUUCAGCUCGACCCCCGAGAUCCACCUGAUCAAGGGCAAGACCCUUGCCAAGAAGAUGGCCUUCGUUAAGCGCAUGCAAUGGAACAUGAGCACCAACUUCCAGGCGGUGUUCGACCAGAUCCUUCGCACGGCCGUGAACGCCCGGCUGGCGCCGGAGAAGAUGAUCAGGACCGUGUUCGUGUACAGCGACAUGGAGUUCAAUGAGGCGUCGGGGCACAGCGGGGGUGGAUACUACGGAUACGGAUCGCGACGAUCGUCCGGGUCCUGGGACACUGACUACAACGUGAUCUGCAAGAAGUUCAGGGACGCGGGGUACGGCGAUGUGGUGCGGCAGAUCAUCUUCUGGAACCUGCGCGACUCCAAGUCGACGCCGGUGACGUCGACGCAGCCGGGGGUGGCCAUGGUGAGCGGCUUCUCCAAGAACUUCCUCAAGAUCUUCCUGCAGAACGACGGCGUGGUGAACCCCGAGGCCAUCAUGAUGCAGGCCAUCGCGGGCGACGAGUACCAGAAGCUGACCGUGUACGACUAG
rnacentral:rRNA from 1 species